ACUAAAAGCCUUUGGAAGUGGCAUUGAUAUAAAACCAGGCACACCUCCAAUCGCUGGUAGAAGCACCACACCAACAUCUAGUCCCUUCCGGGCUACUUCUACGAGUCCGAACAGCCAGUCCAGCAAAAUGAACAGCAUUGUCUACCAGAAGCAGUUCCAGUCAGCCCCUGCCACUGUGAGAAUGACACAACCAUUUCCUACACAGUUUGCACCCCAGAAGAGAGCUGUGGGAAGAGGACUCAGCCACAAGACAUUUGGUCCUAGGUGUUGGUAAUGCCACAAUAUAAGUGCUUCCUUUUCAUUUUAUUGUAGACCACAUAUUGAUAACUAGAAGUUUUAAGUGUUACAUGUAUGUUUUUAGAUUUGCAAGCAGGUUCCC
rnacentral:sRNA from 1 species